rnacentral:lncRNA from 1 species
AAAACUACCAUUUUCCAACUAACUAGGUAUCUUACUUUUUGUCAAAUGUAGUAUUCUGUAAAUAUAGGUGAUUAACAAUUCACACACACUGUUGUGGGCAUUUCAUAUUAAAUGGCAGAGGGGGAUAUCAGUGCUAUGUGUUUCAGCUACGGAAGUUAAUAUAGAGGGUUGGUGUGAGAAGAAUUUGAGAUUUUUGAAAUUUUCAGCAUCUCUUUCAAGGGCUGCUUGAGGAUUCUGAAAUUUCCUUUCUGGCUAGAAAGAAUGUAAAAUGAGGGUAAAAUUUUAUUCUUUCUGCAAUACCAGCUGACUGCAUUUUAAUGGGCUAUAGUGUCACUGUUGAUUUAUUG